rnacentral:rRNA from 1 species
GAUGAACGCUAGCGGCAGGCUUAAUACAUGCAAGUCGAGGGGCAGCACGGUUAGCAAUAACUGGUGGCGACCGGCGCACGGGUGCGUAACACGUAUACAAUCUACCUUAAACAGGGGGAUAGCCUUUCGAAAGAGAGAUUAAUACCCCGUAAUAAAUUGAACGGCAUCGUUUGAUUUUGAAAGCUCCGGCGUUUUGAGAUGAGUAUGCGUCUGAUUAGCUAGUUGGUGAGGUAACGGCUCACCAAGGCGACGAUCAGUAGGGGAUCUGAGAGGACUAACCCCCACACUGGUACUGAGACACGGACCAGACUCCUACGGGAGGCAGCAGUAAGGAAUAUUGGUCAAUGGAGGCAACUCUGAACCAGCCAUGCCGCGUGCAGGAUGACGGCCCUAUGGGUUGUAAACUGCUUUUAUACAAGAGAAAACCCUGGUACGUGUACCAGGUUGAUAGUAUUGUAAGAAUAAGCAUCGGCUAACUUCGUGCCAGCAGCCGCCGUAAGAC